rnacentral:rRNA from 1 species
GACGAACGCUGGCGGCGUGCUUAACACAUGCAAGUCGAACGGAAAGGCCCUGCUUUUGUGGGGUGCUCGAGUGGCGAACGGGUGAGUAACACGUGAGUAACCUGCCCUUGACUUUGGGAUAACUUCAGGAAACUGGGGCUAAUACCGGAUAGGAGCUCCUGCUGCAUGGUGGGGGUUGGAAAGUUUCGGCGGUUGGGGAUGGACUCGCGGCUUAUCAGCUUGUUGGUGGGGUAGUGGCUUACCAAGGCUUUGACGGGUAGCCGGCCUGAGAGGGUGACCGGCCACAUUGGGACUGAGAUACGGCCCAGACUCCUACGGGAGGCAGCAGUGGGGAAUAUUGCACAAUGGGCGGAAGCCUGAUGCAGCAACGCCGCGUGCGGGAUGACGGCCUUCGUUGUAAACCGCUUUCGCCUGUGACGAAGCGUGAGUGACGGUAAUGGGUAAAGAAGCACCGGCUAACUACGUG